GGAAAGGCUUACGGAUGAUACCUAGGCACCCAGAGACAAGGAAGGGAGUAGUAAGCGAUGAAAUGCUUUGGGAAGUUGAAAAUAUGCGUAGAUCCGGAGAUUCCCGAAUAAGUUAACCUUGCGAACUGCUGCUUAAUCCAUAGGCAGAUAAGAGACAACCUGGCAAACAGAAACAUCUUAGUAGCCAGAGGAAAAGAAAGCAAAAGCGAUUCCUAUAGUAGCAGCGAGCAAAAUAGGAGCAGCCUAAACUGUGAAAACGGGGUUGUGGGAGAGCAAGACAAGCGUCGUGCUGCUAGGCAAAGCGGUGGAGUGUUGCACCCUAAAUGGCAAGAGUCCUGUAGCCGAAAGCAUCACUAGCUUAUUCUCUGACCCGAGUAGCAUGGGACACGUGGAAUCCCGUGUGAAUCAACAAGGACCACCUUGCAUGGCUAAAUACUCCUGGGUGACUGAUAGUGAAGUAGUACCAUAAGGGAAGGGUGAAAAGAACCUCUAUCGGGGAGUGAAAUAGAACAUGAAACUGUAAACUCCCAAGCAGUGGGAGGAGCCCUGGGCUCUGACCGCGUGCCUGUUGAAGAAUGAGCCGACGACUCAUAGGCAGUGACUUGGUUAAGGGAACCCACCGAGGCCAUAGCAAAAGCGAGUCUUCAUAGGGAAAUUUUCACUGCUUAUGGACCCGAACAUGGGUGAUCUAUCCAUGACCAAGAUGAAACUUAGGUGAAACUAAUUGGAGGUCUGAAACGAUUGAUGUUGAAGAAUCAUCAGAUGAGUUGUGGUUAGGGGUGGAAUGCCACUCGAACCAAGAGCUAGCUGGUUCUCCCUGAAAAGUGUUGAGGCACAGCACUUGAGUGGACAUAUAGGAGUAAAGCACUGUUUCGGUGCAGGUUGCGAGACCGGUACCAAAUCGAGGCAAAAUCUAAAUACUAGAUAUGACCUCCAAAUAACAGGGGUCAAGGUCGGCCAGUGAAACGGUGGGGGAUAAGCUUCAUCGUUGAGAGGGAAACAGCUCUGAUCAGCAGUUAAGCCCCUAAAUGACCACUCAGUGAUAAAAGAGGUAGGGGUGCAAAGAUAGCCAUGAGGUUUUCCUAGAAGCCGCCACCCUUGAAAUAGUGCGUAAUAGCUCACUGAUCGAGCGCUCUAGCACCUAAGAUGAACGGGGCGAAGCGCUCCGCAAAAGCUGUAGGAUGUAAAAAUGCAUUGGUAGGAGAUCACUCCGCCUACAGGGAAGCAACUGCACGAGCGGCAGUGGACGAAGAGGAAGCAAGAAUGUUAGCUUGAGUAAUGCAAACAUGGGUGAGAAUCCAAUGCCCCAGAAACCCAAGGGUUCCUCCAUAACGUUCGUCCACGUAGGGUGAGUCAGGGCCUAAGAUGAGGCCGAAAGGCGUAGUGCCGGAAGUUCAAGGAAGUUGGUGACUUGAUGACGGGGGAGCCGGCGACUGAAGCCCCAGUGAACGGCAGCCGUAACUAUAAUGGUCCUAAGGUAGCGAAAUUUCUUGUUGGGUAAGUUCCAACCCGCACGAAAGGCGUAACGAUCUGGGCACUGUCUCAGAGAGAGACUCAGUGAAAUAGACAUGUCUGUGAAGAUGCAGACUACCUGCACCUGGACAGAAAGACCUUAUGAAGCUUCAUUGUUCCCUGGGAUUGGCUUUGGGCUUUUCCUGUGCAGCUUAGGUGGAAAGCGAAGAAGGCACCCUUGCGGGGGGCCCGAGCCAUCAGUGAGAUGCCACUCUAGAAGAGCUAGAAUUCUAACCUUGUGUCAGGACCAACGGGCCAAGGGACAUUCUCAGGUAGAUAGUUUAUAUGGGGCGUAGGCCUUCCAAAAGGUAACAGAGGCGUGCAAAGGUUUCCUCGGGCCAGAUGGAGAUUGGCCCUCGAGUGCAAAGGCAGAAGGGAGCUUAACUGCAAGACCCACCCAUCGAUCAGGGACGAAAGUCGGCCUUAGUGAUCCGAUGGUGCCGAGUGGAAGGGCUGUCGCUUCACGGAUAAAAGUUACUCUAGAAAUAACAGGCUGAUCUUCCCCAAGAGCUCACAUCAACGGGUAGGUUUGGCACCUCGAUGUUGGCUCUUCGCCACCUGAGGCUAUAGUAUGUUCCAAGGGUUGGGUUGUUCGCCCAUUAAAGUGGUACGUGAGCUGGGUUUAGAACGUUGUGAGACAGUUCGGUCCAUAUCCGGUGUGGGCAUUAGAGCAUUGAAAGGACCUUUCCCUAGUACGAGAGGACCGGGAAUGACGCAUCUCUGGUGUACCAGUUAUCGUGCCCACGGUAAACACUGGGUAACCGAGUGCGGAGCGGAUAACUGCUCAAAGCAUCUAAGUAGUAAGCCCACCCCAAGAUGAGUGCUCUCCUAUUCCGACUUCCCCAGAGCCUACGGUAGCACAGCCUGAGUUUUUUACCCCCGCAGGGGUGGAGCGACUGAAGUCUUGAGAAAUCAAGAGAAAGUCACGACGAGACGAGCCAUUUAUGAUUACAAUAUGUGUCAAGUAAAAGUGCAGUGAUGUAUGCAACUGAGGCAUCCUAACAGACCGGUAGACAUGAAC
rnacentral:rRNA from 1 species